rnacentral:hammerhead_ribozyme from 1 species
AUCCAACUGAAGAGUUCUAAAUAGAAUGAAACGCAUGUCUUCGAU